UGGGAUGUAGCUCAGUGGCAAAGCGCUUGCCUAGCAAGAGCAACGUCCUGGGUUCGAUCCCCAGUACCAA
rfam:Dipodomys ordii contig_51850, whole genome shotgun sequence.